rnacentral:rRNA from 1 species
CAGGCCUAACACAUGCAAGUCGAACGGUGGCAGCAAUGUCAUAGUGGCGCACGGGUGCGUAACACGUAACUAACCUGCCCAAGACUGGGGGAUAGCCCGCCGAAAGGCGGAUUAAUACCGCAUAAUAUCUUUUACUGGCAUCAGUGAUUGAUUAAACCUGAGGGGGUCUUGGAUGGGGUUGCGGGUCAUUAGCUAGUUGGUACGGUAACGGCGUACUAAGGCGACGAUGACUAGGGGAGCUGAGAGGCUGGUCCCCCACACGGGCACUGAGAUACGGGCCCGACUCCUACGGGAGGCAGCAGUAGGGAAUAUUGGGCAAUGGGCGAGAGCCUGACCCAGCCAUGCCGCGUGCAGGAAGAAGGCUUUCUGAGUCGUAAACUGCUUUUGAUAGGGAAGAAUAACCAGUACGUGUACUGGGAUGACGGUACCUACAGAAUAAGCACCGGCUAACUCCGUGCCAGCAGCCGCGGUAAU